rnacentral:rRNA from 1 species
AGUGAACGCUGGCGGUAGGCCUAACACAUGCAAGUCGAACGGCAGCACAGUAAGAGCUUGCUCUUACGGGUGGCGAGUGGCGGACGGGUGAGGAAUACAUCGGAAUCUACUUUUUCGUGGGGGAUAACGUAGGGAAACUUACGCUAAUACCGCAUACGACCUACGGGUGAAAGCAGGGGAUCUUCGGACCUUGCGCGAUUGAAUGAGUCGAUGUCGGAUUAGCUAGUUGGCGGGGUAAAGGCCCACCAAGGCGACGAUCCGUAGCUGGUCUGAGAGGAUGAUCAGCCACACUGGAACUGAGACACGGUCCAGACUCCUACGGGAGGCAGCAGUGGGGAAUAUUGGACAGUGGGCGCAAGCCUGAUCCAGCCACACCGCGUGGGUGAAGAAGGCCUUCGGGUUGUAAAGCCCUUUUGUUGGGAAAGAAAAGCAGCAGGUUAAGACCCCGCUGUUCUGACGGUACCCAAAGAAUAAGCACCGGCUAACUUCGU